CUUCCAGUAGCACCUUAGAGAAAAACUAAAUUUGUUAUUGGUAUGAGCUUUCGUGUGCAUGCACACUUCUUCAGAUACACACGAAAGCACAUCCCAAUAACAAACUUAGUUGUUCUCUAAGGUGCUACUGGAAG